rnacentral:rRNA from 1 species
GACGAACGCUGGCGGCGUGCUUAACACAUGCAAGUCGAACGAGGCCCAUCCAGUAGCAAUACUGGGGAAGGCCUAGUGGCGAACGGGUGAGUAACACGUGAGAAACCUGCCCUGGUCUCCGGGAUAACAGGCGGAAACAACUGCUAAUACCGGAUGCCGUCGGAGCCUCGCCUGGGGCGCUGACGAAAGGGUCCACUGGACCAGGAGGGUCUCGCGACCUAUCAGCUUGUUGGUGGGGUAACGGCCUACCAAGGCAUCGACGGGUAGCUGGUCUGAAAGGAUGAUCAGCCACACUGGGACUGAGACACGGCCCAGACUCCUACGGGAGGCAGCAGUGGGGAAUCUUGCGCAAUGGGCGAAAGCCUGACGCAGCAACGCCGCGUGCGGGAUGAAGGCCUUCGGGUUGUAAACCGCUUUCAGAAGGAACGAAACUGACGGUACUUUCAGAAGAAGGUGCGGCCAACUACGUGCCAGCCGCCGCCGUAA